GGUGGUUCUCACGCGACGCACCCCGGAAUUGGGCUCCCUCCUCUCUGGUUCCGGGGUGCAUCACCCAAGAACCGCC
rfam:Myotis davidii contig111059, whole genome shotgun sequence.